rnacentral:lncRNA from 1 species
AAGAAAUGCUGAUGCAGUGUCAUGCUGGUGUGUGUCCUCCUUACAGAAUGCCUGAACAGUUCCAUUGACUCAAAGUGAAGAUCAAAAGAACCAAAUGACAGCAAUAGCUAAGUGUAAUCAUCAGUAACCCUGUGUUCUAUCCACGGCUUAAACUCCCUCCUAAGUUUCUGAAGAUCCCCUUGGGCCACUUCAUGGAUUUGAUUUAAAUCUAAAGUCCUAGGGGUUUCAAGGAGCACAGCUUGGAAUCUACUGUCCUGGGACAUUCAUUGUAUUAGUCCGUUUUCAUGCUGCUGAUAAAGACAUACCCAAGACUGGGCAAUUUACAAAAGAAAGAGAUUUAAUUGGACUUACA